rnacentral:rRNA from 1 species
CCUACGGGAGGCAGCAGUGGGGAAUCUUGCGCAAUGGACGAAAGUCUGACGCAGCCAUGCCGCGUGAGUGAUGAAGGUCUUAGGAUUGUAAAGCUCUUUCGCUCGCGACGAUGAUGACGGUAGCGAGAGAAGAAGCCCCGGCUAACUUCGUGCCAGCAGCCGCGGUGAUACGAAGGGGGCUAGCGUUGUUCGGAAUUACUGGGCGUAAAGCGUGCGCAGGCGGUUUUUUAAGCCAGAGGUGAAAUCCCGGAGCUCAACUUCGGAAUGGCCUUUGGAACUGGAAAGCUUGAGAACGGUAGAGGUGAGUGGAAUUCCCAGUGUAGAGGUGAAAUUCGUAGAUAUUGGGAAGAACACCGGUGGCGAAGGCGGCUCACUGGACCGUUUCUGACGCUCAGGCACGAAAGCGUGGGGAGCAAACAGGAUUAGAUACCCUGGUAGUCCACGCCUUAAACGAUGGAUGCUAGCCGUUGUGAGGCAUGCCUCUCAGUGGCGCAGCUAACGCGUGAAGCAUCCGCCUGGGGAGUACGGCCGCAAGGUUAAACUUAAAUGAAUUGACGG